rnacentral:rRNA from 1 species
UACGUAGGGGGCAAGCGUUGUCCGGAAUCAUCGGGCGUAAAGCGCGUGUAGGCGGCUCGAUAAGUCUGCUGUGAAAGUCCAGGGCUCAACCCUGGGAUGCCGGUGGAUACUGUCGAGCUCGAGUCCGGAAGAGGCGAGUGGAAUUCCUGGUGUAGCGGUGAAAUGCGCAGAUAUCAGGAGGAACACCAAUGGCGAAGGCAGCUCGCUGGGACGUGACUGACGCUGAGACGCGAAAGCGUGGGGAGCAAACAGG